rnacentral:lncRNA from 1 species
UUAUGGCUGAUGAUGAUGUUUGAAACAUCGAAACAUGUUCCGAAAACUGAAAAGCGUUGUUGUGUUUUUCAGAAUAUUUACAACACUUGUGCUAUCAAGACCCUCUACUAAUAAGGUUGUUUUACUGUAAACAGGAAGGGUUCAAUUUUGUAUGUGAUGCAAAUGAUAGGUGGAUUUUUAAGUUUUGACACUCUUAGUGAGAUGAAAAAUUGGUGGAGAUAAAAUUUGUCAUUAUUUUUGGUAGUAUUGUACAAAAUUUACUGUGUAAAGGGUUCUUCACCUAGUGGUGAAGAACCCUUACAAACCAGUUGAAUUUUUCCCUCAGGUAUACUGGAGCUUAUGAAGGUUACCCAGCUCCUCGUGAUGGAUAUGGAGGUCGCAGGUAUUAAGCGUCUGGAAUACCCGAGCCGUUGACGGACCGAGUAGCUUUCGUCGUGCGGUCGGUUUUGCAGUUCCUGUAUGUCUUGCCGAACGUCUCAUGGUGGAUCGUGCGGUUGAAACUAUCAUUUUUACGUUAAAUUUUGCAAAUGACGUUAUCGUGACUUUUUCUUGUAAUGCAACUUUUUAUGGACACAUUUUUUUUCUUUUUAAGUUAAUGUAAGGUUAAAUCAAAUUACUGGAUCAGAACUGUAAAACUCAUAAGUUAAGACUGUUUGAUUGCUUUUAGGGAUGAAAUUGUUGGGAAUUUUUGUUAUGUGUUUUAGCUUUUUUGUAUGAUGGAGCACAUGAUAGAAGUUGUGAAUCGUAGUUUGUAGUAGUUCAUUAUUUACCAACAUGGCGUGUGCAUAUUAUAGAAUGGCAAACAAGAAUUUUUUGGAGGAAAUAAAACCUCGUUAAAUGUCUCUAAUUUUUAAGUCUCUUCACUGAAAGUGAUCUUUUAGUAAACACUGUUUAUCCCAUUGUGGAUACUCAUGACGUGUACCAUCUAGCAAAGAACUUGUAGACCGUGGACGCUGAAAGUUCCAUUGCUGUUGAACUCCAUAUAGAAUUAUUCUGCAGUGUAUUUGUGCGAUGGAUAUCAGUUGUGCGUGGCGUUCCAGUAACCGUUGUGACAGAAUUGCAAACGUUCUUCGCAGGCUGACCGGCACUUUUCAUUUUCGUCGUUGAUGUGUGAGUAAUCGUCUUCUCGAAAGGAAUCAUUUUGUUAAUAGAUCGACGUGUUCUUCUCGUGAUUCGUGCUCGGAAUGUUCUAAGCUAAGGAGUAUUUUCUCAACGUAAUAAGUUUUUGCUCCUUGCCUUGUUAAUCAGUUACGUUCGUAAAGGCUUGAUAAUUAUUGUUGCUGCUGAGUAAUGUGGCAACCUUUUUGUGGUGAUUUAAGCAUCAAAAUAUUUUCUUUUUAGGUAGUUUAUUGGAAAACUGUUGACAGAGUGAGGAAAUACUGUGCUAUCCAGCCAGCACCAAGUGUGGCACUGAUGUCCUGCUUUUGACAUGGUUCAGGUGCUGCAGUUGUCAUGAUUUAGUCCCUUCUGUGAUGGAGACUCAAUACUGGCCGUAAAUUGAUAUUGAAACAAAAAACAUCCUCACAAUAUUCCACCCCUGCAAUGUGAAAAGCAUUUCAAUUUAUCGUAUACCAGUUUACCAAAAAUGCCAAGAUCAUUUGCACUUUACCGAAUCUGUUGGUACAGCUAAGAUAAUACAGUCUGGAAUGUCCUUGUGACCAUCAUCUUUAGUUCUCUCCCUGCUCCCCCAAAAAGUAAGCCCCUAACUACCACCAUUGUGAAACUGUUGAAGCCACCUUUUGGAAAUGCCAACUGGUCAUUUCCUUUGUUUUUCACCUCGUUCAAGUGACUGCACAAUGAUUCUGAUAAUUCAUGCACGUCAACGCUUCAGUAAAGUAUACACCACUUGAUCACAUUUACUAUGAUAUAACAUUGCCUAAUAAUGUUUGUUGACAAGUAUCUCAAAUUAAAUUUCAAGAUGAAUUGAUUUACUGCUGGAGAAAGACUGUUACCCUGAGACUGAGCUAGAAAGCUUUACUCUAAAACCUCUGAUAAGCGACCAGUCUCAGUGUUUGGUUGUUUUUGAGAGCUCAACCUUGUUAGCAACCAGCUCUAUUUUGGAAUUUCCAAGUUGCUUACUUGUGAGAGCCUCAACUGUAUUUCACAUUACCCAGAAAUGUGUCAAGUGGAUGCUGAUACCCAUACCAUCUUAUUCAAGCAGCUAUGCAAAAUAGUCCAGUGCAGAUUAACGUACUGCACAAUGUUUAUAUUCAUGUCUCUUACAGUACUCAUCCUGAUUGUGCCCCCCCCCCCCCUGUACACCCACCCACACCCACACACACCCACACAAACGCUCCUUGAGGGAAAAGUAGCAAGAUUAUUAAUUUUGCACCCAGUCAUUUGUGUCCAAUCGAGGCAAAAUUUCACACGUCCGUUUACUUAGUGUAACCAAUAUAAUUAUGAUUGUUUUAGGACUGAAGUUUUUUUUUUUUU